rnacentral:rRNA from 1 species
GUGAGGAAUAUUGCGCAAUGGAGGCAACUCUGACGCAGCCAUGCCGCGUGCAGGAAGAAGGCGCUACGCGUUGUAAACUGCUUUUAACCGGGAAGAAACCCCAGGACGUGUCCUGGGUUGACGGUACCGGAGGAAUAAGCACCGGCUAACUUCGUGCCAGCAGCCGCGGUAAUACGAAGGGUGCAAGCGUUAUCCGGAUUCAUUGGGUUUAAAGGGUGCGUAGGCGGAGCGUUAAGUCAGUGGUGAAAUCCUGCAGCUUAACUGUAGACUUGCCAUUGAUACUGGCGCUCUUGAAUGCGCUUGAAGUGGGCGGAAUGUGCCGUGUAGCGGUGAAAUGCUUAGAUAUGGCACAGAACACCAAUUGCGAAGGCAGCUCACUAAGGCGAUACUGACGCUGAGGCACGAAAGCGUGGGGAUCGAACAGGAUUAGAAACCCGUGUAGUCC